GCCUGUCCUUCAAUUUUAAAUGAUAGCCUUGCUGAGUAAAGUAGUCUUGGCUGUAGGUCCUUGCUCUUCAUCACUUUGAAUAUGUCAUGCCAAUCCCUUCUGAC